UCUCAUUUCAGAGUUCUCCUGGGCAUGAAGAAGAAGACGGCCACCACCUGCCUCUGUGUCUCUGUGUGGUACCAAGAAAAAACCCUGGAAGCCCCAGAGCCCUCUGCUAGGUAGCAGCCAGGGCUGUGGCAUCUCUGCCCAAGCUUCUCCCUGCUGGAUUCAAUAUGAAAGGGUGUUCUGUCUCGAGUUUCAAAGUCCAACACCACCAACACUCCUUCUCAUGUGGCAGCAAAAGUACAACAGGGAUCUCUGCCUUCCCACCUCAGUGCAAUGAAGCCCCACACCGCAGAGCUUAGGAACCCAUGGGAAACCCAUCAUCACCAUGCUUCACCAAAUGCCAUUUGUUUCCAGAAAGGAAGCGAAGUAAACAGCGCUUUGAUUUGUUGCUUCUCAACUUCUAAAGAAAUCUAGCCUGAGAAUCUAGUUCAGAUGAUGUUGAAGGCUGACCCAGCAACCACACCGUUUAUCACCUCCCUGCUUCACACAUACACCUCCUAGCGAACAGAAUCUGCCAUGUCAUAUGGAGACUGCAAAUGACAGCUUUCCUUGCAUUUGGAGCACGAACAUGCAGCCUGCCAUGACCACUGGGAUCCGAAGGGAACUCUACUGAGACAGGGGUGAGAAAUGGAGGAAGCAAGGCAAGAAGAGCAUAGUUCUUCUCUUUAAUAAAAAGGAUUUGGAGAACAGUUGUCCCUUUCAGCCUUUUUAUGUACAAUUGCUUAAAAUACUAUGCCAAAUGACUUGGCUGCCAUCUUGCAAUCAUGAGGGCAGAAAGCUCAAGAACAAAACCCAAUAUUCUGAAGAAGAUGGAAAGAAGGUGGAAGA